AAAAAGGAAGAAAGAAAAAGAAAUCCUGGCUGAAGAAGUUUUUUGAAAAAAAAAUUAAAGGAAAAAAGGCAAUGGUGGUGGAGAGCCAGGCAGUGGUGGAAAAGUGCAAGGAAAUGGAGGAAAAGUGCAAGGCAAUGGAGGAGGAGUGCAAGGAUUGGUGGAGGAGUGCAAGGAUUUGUGAAGGAAAGAAAGGCAAUGGUGAAGGAAAGAAAGGCAAUGGUGAAGGAAAGAAAGGCAAUGGUGAAGGAAAGAAAAGCAAUGGUGAAGGAAAAAGGCAAUGGUGGAGGAGAGUAUGGCAAUGAUGGAGUACAAGGCAAGGGAGAUGAUGCAAGAUGAGGAAGCCAGUAGUGGAUGAGACUGAACAGAACAUUGACUAUCAGUACUAAAAUAUGUAAAUACUUGUAAAUACUUGUAAAUAAAGCAUUAAAAAUGAA